GUAAAAACGCAAGGUGGCCUCCAUGCCACUUGCCACAAGUUGCGCCGCGCUGUAGCAGGACAUGGGUUCCAGUGCUGCAUGUGUGGUGCUGUUGCUGGUGACAGCUCUGGUGGCGGAGGACGUUCAGGCAGUCACCCGCCAGGACGUGCGUGACUUUUUGAAUAACCGCCCUUUUAUGAGUGGUUUAUUUUCCUGUCUCAUGAAUUACGGGCGAUGCAGCUACAUCACACAGAAAAUAAAAGACAACACACACAACGCGUUGCAUGGUCGGUGCAGCGGCUGCUCGCGUGGCGAGCGGAACCUCAUGAUGUGGGCCAUCAAGAUGGCGCGCCGCAGUUACCCGAAAGAGUUCGGGAAGGUGUGGCGCCGAUACUACUAGUGGGUAGUACCUCGUACGAAGAUAACACAAUCAAUACUAGUUAUUAUCUCGUGUUACCUGAGAGACCAAAGUUACCGCCUUAUGCGUCUACAGUGACGGAGAUGGAAAGCGUUACAGCAUGAAGAGCCUUCCCAACAUUUGUCAAAAUUUGCGGAGAGUCAUCGUACAAGACUAAUAAAAGAUUAAAGAUUCAUUUCUUUCCAAAAUGAUUGUCUUUAACAUCAGCAUGAUGUGUGACACCACUAGCACGAAUACACUCUUUUCGUGUUGUGUCAUAGAACCAAAUAGCGUCCGAAUUUCAUCUCGAAUUUAUGCCUUGCCUGAAUUAGACUCUGCGUCAGUUCAUUAGUAUUACAGAUCAGAGUCUGGUAUGAAAGUAUACAUCUUCCCAUCGCAUCUCAAACACGCCCUGCGGGUAAUAAAUCAGGGGCCUUGGUAGGUCAGCCAAGGACCCGUAUGAAGUAUUCCUGGUGUAAACUGCACUGCGAGGCCUCGUGCACUCGCCACAAAAGGUAUGACGCGAGGAUUUAUCUUUCUCACCAAGUAAUGGCCAGCAUUAGGCCUCCCUUUAUCGACUGCCAGAUCUGUUCUUUCCUCACCAUGAAUCCAGGAGUCUACCAUUCCCGGAAGCACUGUUCCCAACUAUCGCUGCUUCCUUUGACAUUUCACGAGGUUGUAAACGGACACAGUGGAAUCAAUCUAACGGCCACAAACAGGAUCGAGACUCGUCGCUGAAGAGCAAAGAAUGUCAGUCAGUGUUCCAUUUGACCAUAUCUUCACACAUGUAAGUCUCUAUCAUUUGUUGGCUGUGCUAAACAACGUUUACAGUCGAUAUUUCAACGCAUCUUCCAGUAAUGUCUGACGGUGGGUUCCUGGUGACACUCUGGUUGUAACCUUCGACGGAUAUCACUCCUCUGUCUUUGAAAGCCAGUCCAGCAAUUCUACGGUCUUCUCCUGAUGUGGUUCAUCUGGAAUGGACUGUGGAUGUCCACACCGUAUUGGUGCACUCAGCUUAUUUCGUCAGCACUCUGUCUGGAGUCAUUACACAACAGCCAACUGUCUGUGCGACCUGUCACUUUGAUGUUCCCAUGUCUCUCUUGCCAAUAAUUGGAGCCUUCUCAAAUCGCGAAAUUUGGCGAUUAGUUGUGCACGUCCUCUGGGCGUGUUGUGUUGCAAUCCUCAGCUGAAAAGUUUCUGUAACGUGGACAUACCCUAUGACCACCGUGGAGUCACAUCAUCCUUCAGCUGUAGGAAACUGUUUCAGCUGUCUUUAAACACUGAAAACAGUUGCGGAAAGGGUAAAUGUCUAUUGAACGUACCUCACAGGAAUGAAAAUACUAUCGUAUCUUCUUUGGUAGUGUUCACACAAGGUAUUCAUAAUAUAACGCUUUCCUUUUCCGAUAGCGUUGUUCUUGUAGAUCAAAAGCUUGGACACAAAACAUGAUGGGUGUUUUCUUAUAACUGAGUUAUUUUGUUACAUUUUUCGUUAGUGUGGUCACUGAUAUACGGUGAAAGGAACGGAGGACAAAAACAACCACUGCCUGCUAUUGUUGGACAAAAACCGGAUCUUUACUUUUUUACAUGUCUCUCUUGUUCAAUGGACUUUUAUCUACUUGUCAGUAUCUGCUGCUGAAAGAACUUUUGUCACAUUAUUAUAGAUGAAAAUGGUUUUCAGUCAUAUUAAAUAAUUUGUUACAUUUAUCACUGAUAAUAAUGAAACGUAGUCUUAAUUUGGCCCAUCACCUAAUGUUACCUUGUAUAAUUUACACAUGGGCACAGAGGAAGUCAAAGCAAGCUGUCUUAAUAACAGAAUCGUUUCUUGUGUAGUGACUUUGUUGUGUUUGUGUAUAAAACUGCACAGAAGUAUACAUUACAUUGUAAGUGAUAUAGUACAGAACUAACUGAUACAGAAUGUAAUGGUCUUACGAGUGUGCCUUGUUCUUAGUGUACUCCAUCUAAUAACAAAGUGAAAUAAAAUAUAUAGCCUUUUGUCUA